UUAUGGCUUGCACUUUUCCUUUAAGUCUAUAUCUAUACCACCUCAGAUGUGCCCCAUCUCUUCCUCAUAGCUUUUCUUUAGGAUCUGUUAGCAUUGUAAUGACCAAAGUUUUAGCAUUGAAGGGCCUGCCCCUCCCCCCACCUGAGCCAUCACUGUAUCCUGAUUUUUACUGGACCUCCAAGUGUAGUCGGUAUGCACUCAUUCUUUCCUUUGCUUUGCACCAGCACACCCGAGGCAGUGGUUCUCACAGUAGAAGAGAAAGGAAUGGGAAUAGUAUAGGCCUGUGCAAUCAUCUAUGAGUUGCUGGUUCUGCUUCAGUGCUCUGGCUUCUGGAAUUCAUUCUGUCUUCUUUUCCCGUCUUAAAAAGUCAUUACUUUUUCACAGUGUUGCCUAAGUUCAUUGUUUUUAGUGUCUGCCUUGUCUCUGGAAAUCUGCUUUAUCUUAAAAAAUAUGGAAAAUACUCUAGGCUUUCGUGACACUCUUGUUUUCCAAUUCAAUCCUACCAUCCUUACUGAAUGUUUACCUUACCUUUGAGAAUAUUUGUAAAAAUUCAAUUCUGUGCUUUACUGCUAGGGGACCAGGUUACUUAUGAUGUAUAGGUAGGUAGCGUCUCCCACCAUUUCCUCUGCAGAGAUUCUGUUACAAUGGAGUCUUUGUACAUUUUAGGAGUUUCUAGAAAAAUUUCCCAUCCGUCUAUCCUAUUUAACAUCAUGACUUUACAGGUCAUUCUUUCAAGUUUCAUUUUUCUCAGUCCAAGAAAUGAAGCAGGUACUGAGUCAUAUCAUAGUAGUUAAGACAGGAAACUUUCUAAGAAUUCAACUUAACUGUGUUUCAACAUACGAAAGGUUUUGUUUUUGUUUUAAAUCAGUGUUAUCCACAUGUUGUAUGCCCAUAUUAUUCCAUUGCAGCCUUGGUAGGAAAUUAAGCCAACGUAUACAGAUUAUGAUUUCUUAAUCGAUGUUAUAAAGUGAACAUGUUGGUGGAAACAGUGGCUGCUGCCAAAUAUGCAGAGAGGAUGGGAAUUUUUCCAAGGAAUGUUUGCAGAAAAACUAGGACAGCGCAUCCGAAAACACGGCACACGAGAGCAACUGCAGCCCAUCCGAAAACACGGCACACGAGAGCAACUGCUUUUUUUUUUUUUACUUUCUUUUUUUUUUUUUUUUUUUUUUGGUUUUGUUUUGUGAUGCUGAACUUGAACAGGUACCUCAACUAAGCAACACUUUGCUUUGGGUUGUAUCACCGCCCUUCGUUUAAAGG
rnacentral:lncRNA from 1 species